CUCUCUCAUUUGUUUUCCCCCAGAUGUCAAGCUCCAUCAGGGCAGGUUGAUCUUGAAAACUUGGGUCAUUCUACUAUUCAACUUGGUGCCUUGCACAUUGUGAGUGAUCAAUAAUAAUCAUUUAGAAACCGAUUUUUUCCUUCUAAUUUGCCCCCUGCAUUCUUAAGUCAUAGGCAUAACAAGUGCAUCAGCAUUCAUGAUACCAAGAAUAUUUUAAUAACAAAAUUAUUAUUUUUACCAGAUUUAUUAAAGUACGGUUGAUGUACAAAAUAAAUUUUUACCAGAUUUAUUAAAGUAUGGUUGAUGUAAUAUGUACAAUUUGAUGAGUCUGGCUCAUUACCACAAUCAAGGUAAUAGACAUAUCCAACACCUUCCAAAGUUUCACUGUGCCCUCUGUUUUGGGUGGUAAGAACAGUUAAUAUGAGGUCUACCUUCUCAACACAAAUAUUCUUUAUAUUAAAAGAACCACUGAGUUCUUUCAUAACAAUAGUCAUCUCAUGAGGCAGAAUUGAGACUGUAACAUGAUGGUUAGAUUUUGUAUACCUAUUUUCAAAUUUGCUAGUCUUAACAGAGUUCCAAUCACAUAGAUUGUGACAGAUUCUCAGAAUAGCAUUGUGGGAACUUUGAGAAUUUAGUCCAUUUCAUUACAUAAAAUAUAUUUAAGACUUUCUGUAUAUGAAGAAUAAAGUCCCUGUAAAUGGGUUAUUUUUAAUAGGAACUCUUCAAGGUCUAAAACUUGAAAAAGGGAAGAUCUUUUGAAGAGGACUUUGCAAAAGACUUUGACGGUAUUAAUACAUGGGAUAAAAGAAGUUGAGCUCAGGUUGCCAACUUGUCUUUUUAAUAAUAGUCUAAAGAAAGACACAGGGUCACUGCCCUUUCCUUGAAGACCAUAUCCUAGGGAUACUGUGAAGUUUUUGAAAACUCAAAUAUGUUUUAAGUAUUUAACUAGCCUUAGCUAUGCUGUGACUUUUAUAUGUACCCCUUAUCUUGCUAGUAUAUCAGAUUUUGUUUCCCCAGGGAACAAAGGUUAAAAACAAACAAACAAACAGACAGCUGUGUAUAUUUUCCAAUGAAUAAAGAGUACAAAAAAAUUACCAUAGGAUAAAGCUCCUCUGCCAAACUCAAAAUAAUAUGGAACCCAGAAAGUAAAUUAAAAAUAUACUAUAUAUUUUUUCUACAUAGUCAUAGUUUUUAUGAAAUGUUUACAAUUCAUGAGCAAAUAUUUUGGUAUUUUUCCUUGGUAGUUUUUUCUUUGGUAGUUCACAAUAUAAACAAAUAUAGUGUUUUAUGAAAAAAUUAAUACAUAAAAAUUUGAAGCUGCUAGACUUCAGUCAAAAGUUAAUGUACAUAACUCAAUGACUGGCUAAAGGUUUUGCUCAUUUUACAUGUUGAUUGAAUUUCUUUUUUAAUUCAGAACUACUAUCUUUUAAAAUUAAGAUGAUAGAAUGUUAAAAAUAAUCUAAUAGAGACUCAAAAAAAGAGUUAUCUGGAAAGAGAUUCUAAGGAUGUAGUCAGAUAUACUAAAUUUAUCUUAUUUAAAAUAGAUUAUCUAGAAAUUUAAAUCCAUCCUUCUGGGAAGUUGGUAUAACUGGUUAAAAUAUGGGAUGAGUAGAUGUGGUGCUCUCCUUCCCUAUGAGCACAGGCUUAUUUCCUGCCCUGUCAAAGACCUCAGAGAGAUACCUGGGGGACAAGUAAGAGAGUUUACACCUAUCUGUGCAAAUUUAUCACCAGUAUUGGGAAAAACAAAUUGGCAUGCAGACUUUACUACUGCAGACGUCUGUUGAUGUAUUUAUGGAGCUAAAAUAAUAUAUACUUUAGGGUCAGAAGUCCUGGCAGUGAGUCAGCUUCAGCCACUUAGUUGUAUAAUAUAAUCCUGGAAAACGAUUUAACCUCCUUGAGCUUUUGUUUCCCUUUGGGAAAAAUAAUCAUUGGAAUAAUCCACAUCUCACAAAGCCUUUUUGAGAAUUAACUAGAGUAAAUACAUUGAGAAAGUACUUUUUACAGAGUCGUACAAAUGAGGCUCACUGCUAAGGUAAAUUUUUUUAUCCACUGAACAUCUUGGUAGUAAAUUAGGUUGAUUCUUUAUGAACAUUUUUUUAGAGAGUUAGAUUAAUAAUCUCUAAUGGAAAAAAAGGUAUAUAUUAAUUAUCUAAUUAGAGUAUUUCUUCACUCAUUCAACAAACCUUCACUGUAUUUCUACCAUGUGCCAAGCAUGAUAACAAAUACUUAGGAUCUAGAGUUAAAAGGCCAUUGCCUUCUCUCAAGGAAGUUACAGUGCAGUGGCUAAGAAACAGAAUGACACAGAGCUGUUACAGACUCUGACAAAGCAGAUAAGUUGGACAUCAUUUUGAAGAGGUUAGUCCAUGGUUCCUGGAGGAUGUGAAUCUUGAGCUGAGUAGCUGAUAACUGGGGGAAAGGAUGCAUGUACCAAGACCCAGGAUCAAGGUAAAACACAUUAAAUUCUGCAAACUAAAAACAGCUGAGCCAGACUGUGAAGUAGGUUAAUGUUAAAAUAUCAUGGGAUGAGGUUUACAGAGUAGAGGAAGUAGAGAUCCUGAACAGUCUAUAUUCUCUUGUAAGGAUUAAUUUAGGAAAAAAAGGAAGGCUAUUGAAAGGGGUGAGAUAUGAUUAUGAGUUCAUUAAAACAUAACACUCUAAAUAAACGGUAUACACAUUGCAAAGAAAGAAAACUGACCCUAUUUGCAGGUUGACAUGAUUGUGUACAUAGAAAACUCAUGCAUUAAUAAGGAAGUACAACAAAAUUGCAGGAUACAAGAUCAAUACACAAAAAC
rnacentral:lncRNA from 10 species